rnacentral:rRNA from 1 species
GAUGAACGCUGGCGGCGUGCUUAAUACAUGCAAGUCGAACGAAGUCAGUAGCAAUAUUGGCUGAGUGGCGAACGGGUGAGUAACGCGUUGGUGACCUGCCCCAAAGUGUGGGAUAACAGUCCGAAAGGAUUGCUAAUACCGCAUGUGGUCCUCGGAUUUAGAAACCGAUGACUAAAGCCGCAAGGCGCUUUGGGAGGGACCUGCGUCCCAUCAGCUAGUUGGUGAGGUAACGGCCCACCAAGGCUACGACGGGUAGGGGACCUGAGAGGGUGGCCCCCCACAAUGGAACUGAAACACGGUCCAUACACCUACGGGAGGCAG